ACGUAGGGUGCAAGCGUUAAUCGGAAUUACUGGGCGUAAAGCGUGCGCAGGCGGUCUCGUAAGUCUGUCGUGAAAUCCCCGGGCUUAACCUGGGAAUGGCGAUGGAGACUGCGAGGCUAGAGUUUGGCAGAGGGGGGUAGAAUUCCACGUGUAGCAGUGAAAUGCGUAGAUAUCGGGAGGAACACCAGUGGCGAAGGCGAGUCUCUGGGAUGAUACUGACGCUGAUGCUCGAAAGCUAGGGGAGCAAACGGGA
rnacentral:rRNA from 1 species